CCUGCAGGUUUGUUGCUGUUAGCCUCUGCAGGACAGAUGUUUCCUGAAGGCUUGUUGUUGUUCAGGGCAGUUAAGUCCCUGAAGGUUUGUUGUUGUUUAGGGUAGUUAAAUCCUACAGGUUUGUGGCUGUUAGCCUUUGAAGGCCUCCAUAUGUUACUAAUAGAAAUCAUGUUCUUAAAGUUUUGUUACUGUUCGCCACUAUUGAUAGCAAUCCAGUCCCUGCAGUUUGUUGUUGUUCGCCAUUGGAGGCCCUUCAUCUGUUCUUGUAGUUUUUGAUGUUUGCUGCUGCAAGUCAUCAUCCAUUUUUGAUGGAAAUCUCUCUCGUCCAUUGUUGUCCAAGUUGAAGUUUCAUGGUGCUCGUUCGCCCUCGUCCAUUGCUGUCC
rnacentral:sRNA from 1 species